ACGGGAGGCAGCAGUGGGGAAUAUUGCACAAUGGGGGAAACCCUGAUGCAGCGACGCCGCGUGAGUGAUGAAGUAUUUCGGUAUGUAAAGCUCUAUCAGCAGGGAAGAUAAUGACGGUACCUGACUAAGAAGCACCGGCUAAAUACGUGCCAGCAGCCGCGGUAAUACGUAUGGUGCAAGCGUUAUCCGGAUUUACUGGGUGUAAAGGGUGCGUAGGUGGUAUGGCAAGUCAGAAGUGAAAACACGGGGCUCAACCCCGUGACUGCUUUUGAAACUGUCAAACUAGAGUGCAGGAGAGGAAAGCGGAAUUCCUAGUGUAGCGGUGAAAUGCGUAGAUAUUAGGAGGAACACCAGUGGCGAAGGCGGCUUACUGGACUGUAACUGACGUUGAGGCUCGAAAGCGUGGGGAGCAAACAGGAUUAGAUACCCUGGUA
rnacentral:rRNA from 1 species